rnacentral:rRNA from 1 species
ACGCUCGACACCUAAGGCAGCAGUGGGGAAUAUUGCACAAUGGGGGAAACCCUGAUGCAGCGACGCCGCGUGGAGGAAGAAGGUCUUCGGAUUGUAAACUCCUGUUGUUGGGGAAAAAGAGGAUGGUACCCAACAAGGAAGUGACGGCUAACUACGUGCCAGCAGCCGCGGUAAUCUGAGGCGGGCUGGCAAGGC